UACGGAGGAUGCAAGCGUUAUCCGGAAUUAUUGGGCGUAAAGCGUCCGCAGGUGGCUGUGUAAGUCUGCUGUUAAAGAGUGAGGCUCAACCUCAUAAAGGCAGUGGAAACUACAUGGCUAGAGUGCGUUCGGGGCAGAGGGAAUUCCUGGUGUAGCGGUGAAAUGCGUAGAGAUCAGGAAGAACACCAGUGGCGAAGGCGCUCUGCUAGGCCGUAACUGACACUGAGGGACGAAAGCUAGGGGAGCGAAUGGG
rnacentral:rRNA from 1 species